AGAGGGUGCAAACGUUGCUCGGAUUUACUGGGCGUAAAGCGCGUGUAGGCGGACUCGCAAGUCGGGUUGUGAAAUCCCCUGGGGCUCAACCUAGGAACUGCAUCCGAAACUGCUUGUCUUGAGUAAUGGAGAGGGUGGCGGAAUUCCCGGUGUAGAGGUGAAAUUCGUAGAUAUCGGGAGGAACAUCAGUGGCGAAGGCGGCCACCUGGACAUUUACUGACGCUGAGACGCGAAAGCGUGGGGAGCAAACAGGAUUAGAUACCCUGGUAGUCCACGCCGUAAACGAUGAGAACUAGGUGCAGCGGAUAUUGACCUCUGCUGUGCCGUAGCUAACGCGUUAAGUUCUCCGCCUGGGGAGUACGGCCGCAAGGCUA
rnacentral:rRNA from 1 species